AAAAUUGGCUUCCGUAAUGAGUGGCCCACAUAGGACAACUUGUUGGCACUUUGUGUAGAAUUGGCAUGAAGAUAUUUUGGAAGCAUAAUGUUUUGGUUCUUGGAUCUUUGAUCCCC
ensembl:snRNA